UACGGAGGAUCCGAGCGUUAUCCGGAUUUAUUGGGUUUAAAGGGUGCGCAGGCGGGAGAUUAAGUCGGCGGUGAAAUUUUGCAGCUCAACUGUAAAAGUGCCUUCGAAACUGGUUUCCUUGAGUGUAGAUGAAGUAGGCGGAAUUUGUGGUGUAGCGGUGAAAUGCAUAGAUAUCACGAGGAACUCCGAUUGCGAAGGCAGCUUGCUGGGUCGUUACUGACGCUGAUGCUCGAAGGUGCGGGGAUCAAACAGGAUUAGAUACCCCGGUAGU
rnacentral:rRNA from 1 species